rnacentral:tRNA from 1 species
GGAGAGGUGCCAGAGUGGUUGAAUGGGACGGUCUCGAAAACCGUUGUGGGAUUAUAUCUCACCCAGGGUUCGAAUCCCUGCCUCUCCGCCA